GAUGAACGCUAGCUACAGGCUUAACACAUGCAAGUCGAGGGGAAACGACAUCGAAAGCUUGCUUUUGAUGGGCGUCGACCGGCGCACGGGGGAGUAACGCGUAUCCAACCUGCCCACCACUUGGGGAUAACCUUGCGAAAGUAAGACUAAUACCCAAUGACGUCUCUAGAAGACAUCUGAAAGAGAUUAAAGAAUUAUCGGUGAUGGAUGGGGAUGCGUCUGAUUAGCUUGUUGGCGGGGUAACGGCCCACCAAGGCGACGAUCAGUAGGGGUUCUGAGAGGAAGGUCCCCCACAUUGGAACUGAGACACGGUCCAAACUCCUACGGGAGGCAGCAGUGAGGAAUAUUGGUCAAUGGGCGAGAGCCUGAACCAGCCAAGUAGCGUGCAGGAUGACGGCCCUAUGGGUUGUAAACUGCUUUUAUAAGGGAAUAAAGUGAGUCUCGUGAGACUUUUUGCAUGUACCUUAUGAAUAAGGACCGGCUAAUUCCGUGCCAGCCGCCGCCGUAA
rnacentral:rRNA from 1 species